rnacentral:lncRNA from 1 species
UGCAUGCUCAGAAAGGGCACUUGGGAAGUCAUUUGCUGGUGAUUAUGACACUUCCAUUGAAUAAUGGAAAGCAUCAUCCAGGUGCACAUCUGCUCUUCAUUUGGUCCAGGGGAGUUGAAGUCAGAGGGAUCUGCCACAGUUACAGGUAAAGGACUGAUGCAGCUGUUUACCAGAAGCCAGCCAACCCUAAAUGCUUCAUUAUCCAGCCCUUGACUGUGGGCUGCUUUCUCCAGCGAGAGGAGAAGCCUAAGAAAAGCUAUCAAUUUCUAAUGGAAACUGAAUGAAAAAGGAAACAUCCAGGCCCUCACCAGACAAGGUCAUGCCUGAUUCACCCUAAGGGUGCUCAAGCAGUCCCAUAGAGGGCCCUGUGUUGAGGAGCAACAGCCAUGGGAGGAAGCUACUGCAGAAGCUGAUGCUCCAGCCCUGGUCCAGCCUCUGAAUGUCUACAGCCCCUGCCUACAUCCUAACUACAGUCCCAUCUGUUGCUGAGCCAGACCACCCGGCUAAACCACCCUGGAUUCCUGAUCCUCAAACAUUGUGAGACAGUAAACAUUUGCUUUGAGCUGUUGCGUUUUGGGGUAAUUUGUUAUGCAGCGAUAGAUGUAGCCUAAGACUAGAUCUCACCCAUGAAGUGUGAGGUGUCACUUCUGGGCCCAGCAUUCUAAGAAGCAUGUGCUCCUGCUGCCAGUCAUCUGGAGUAUUCUUUUUCGCUUUUCUAAUGUUUGUGACCCGCUGUUGAGAUGUUGCUGACCUUGAAAUGCUAUCCCAUCAUGUCGGUGUUCCUUCUGCUUCUCGAGAGGACAGCAGUCAAAGCACAAACACUCUAUUAUUAAUAAAAGGGAGUGACUGACAGGUCAUGCGGUACAUGUUCCUCCUGAGCGCGCUUUCCAAGUGGCAAGUUCUUUAAUUGAAAGUGUCCAGCUCUCUAUUAUUCCAAAGCACCCGUGUGUUUGGUUGCCAAGCUGUAGUCACCACUUACGACCCAACAUGCUCACCCGGCGGGUGGUGGCUCCAGAAGGAGCCUCCUAGACCUGCCCUGUUGUUUCUCUGAUGCUCCCUUUGCAACUUUCAGAAAGGUACCUGAGGAGAAGGAUUAAGGAUCGGGAACUUCUUUCUCUGGGAUACAUGACAUAUUAAUUAAGGUUAGUCAUGUUAACUGCGGUGACAUAAAAGUCUUUUUCCUGUUCCUGGUCGAUGGCCAUCUUUCACUCUGGCUUUCAGAGGCCAGGCUGCUUCUCUCUUGUGGCCCUGUUCCCCUCUGGGGCCUUGAAGUCCAUUCCAUUAGGCUGGUGGGCGAGUAAAGUGGAUUGUGGGUGGGAGGCAACUUUCACAGUGAUUCUGCAGUGAGCAUUUUACAGAACUGUCCCUUCCAGCACCUGCAGGCAGACAACCAGGAUGCUCUUAGACUGUCUUGUGAACCCUGUUUUGCUGUGCCAGGAUCUCUGGCACAGCUCAAGUUCUGUGGGACAUUUUCCCAUCUGCUCUAUUGUUCUAGAGGCCUCUCCGACUUUUCAUUCUCAUUACAGAGCUGCUGAUGGGCCCCACUGAACUAAGCCUUGGCUGAGUUAAUUAUGAUACGGGAAGUGCUUACUUAUUUUAUUAGCAACGAUCAAUUAUUUUCUUUCGUUGUAGACUAAAAGUGAGUCUCUAAUAUGCAUGCACUUGGCCCAAUGAUGUUUGUGGGCUCAUUACAACAUGCUUUCUCAUACAGAUGGCACCAGGCUGCAAUUUUCUCUGUGCAUAGGACCCACCACCUGCUCUUAGCGCUGGAGUUGGUGAUUGGGGGUCUGUGUGGAACUGGCUAUUGAGUGCCUGACAGAGAGAGUCUCAUGGAGCCAACUUUCCUAAUAGGCUUCCUUAUGUUUGAAUUCUUCAAAGUUCAGGAAUCGGAGAGGAC